rnacentral:rRNA from 1 species
GACGAACGCUGGCGGCGUGCUUAACACAUGCAAGUCGAACGGAAAGGCCCAGCUUGCUGGGUGCUCGAGUGGCGAACGGGUGAGUAACACGUGGGUGAUCUGCCCCUAACUUCGGGAUAAGCUUGGGAAACUGGGUCUAAUACCGGAUAGGACAAUCGUUUAGUGUCGGUUGUGGAAAGUUUUUUCGGUUAGGGAUGAGCCCGCGGCCUAUCAGCUUGUUGGUGGGGUAAUGGCCUACCAAGGCGUCGACGGGUAGCCGGCCUGAGAGGGUGGACGGCCACAUUGGGACUGAGAUACGGCCCAGACUCCUACGGGAGGCAGCAGUGGGGAAUAUUGCACAAGGGGCGCAAGCCUGAUGCAGCGACGCCGCGUGGGGGAUGACGGCCUUCGGGUGGUAAACCUCUUUCGACAGGGACGAAGCUUUGGUGACGGUACCUGUAUAAGAAGCACCGGCUAACUACGU